GGGCAUGUGGCGGAAUUGGUAUACGCGUACGUCUCAGAAGCGUAUGGGGAAACCCGUGGGAGUUCAAGUCUCCCCAUGCCCA
rnacentral:tRNA from 1 species